rnacentral:lncRNA from 1 species
CGGCCUUUGAAAUUUCUCUCUUUUUUGGAACGGAAGUCUAUAUUUAAAGGCAGAGAGAGAAAAAAAAACUUUCUACCAAGGCCUUAAACUAACAUAACUAAUUAUAUAUUAUUUAUUAUUAAAGAGAUUGGCUUUCCCAAUGCUAACUCGAGCCAAAAUAGUUUUGGAACUGGCUCGAGUUUAUAAAAAACGUCCGUCUAUCUGUCAGCCUGUAGGUAAGCGGAGAAAAAUACUGGCCAGCCAAUCGGAAAGUCACGGGUGCGGAUCAAUAAACACGAUCCGCUUUUACAACAAUUUUGCCACCAGACAUGUCCGAUUGAAUUUGCAUAAUGGAAACUGUCACUUUAAUUCUUCUCUUCUAUUUUUCUACUUAAUAUACUUUGAUGGAUG